UGAAGAUGCUCCGGGAAAGCGGCCGUGUGUCUUGUGCCCACGGUGUGGCGCGGUUGGCGCAGGCCCCCCGCUCUUUUAAAGGUUUUCCAGAUGAAAAUCUCUACUUGGAAAGGGGCUGCCCUGAAUGGCUGGUCAUAUCUGUGGCUUGAGCUGGAUGCUGAUUGCACAGGUCAGGUUUUCCUGCACGUGGACUUGGAGGCAAGGAUUCAGGUACAAGACAUUCAUUAAAGAAAGGCUCCCAAGAAACCCCACUUUAUUUACGGUGGCCAAGACAUGGAAACAAGCAAAAUG